UGACGCCCACAAGUUGUUGCUUUCUUUCUCCAUCUUCACACCAUUCCAUUUUGGUGAAAAACCAAAAGCUGCUUUGCAAUCCUAUUCUACAAGCUUUGACUAAUACUUUCAAAAUUCAAAUUUUGCAGCUUGACCCGUCCCUUUCAUGCUGCUGCUGCUACUACUGUUGUUUUCUCCUUUGUUAGAAUCAAUUUCAAAAUUCAAAAUUCAAUUUAUCUCACUCUUUUUCAAUAUCUAAACUCACUUUCUUACUCAUCUCUCUCCUUGAUUCCUUCAAACUUCUUCUCUCUCCAUGAAUCAACCGUCUUGGAUGGCACAAGCCAUAAUCUCCAAAGGUUUUCUUCUCAAUCUUCUCAAUCGAAUCCUCCAACCUGUUUCAAGACCCAUCCAACAGAGAUUUUUGUUGAUUUCGAAAGUUGGAUGCUUUACUGCUCUAAAAAGUCAGACAAACAGGGGUAAGAGCUUAAUUGUUUUGCUAAUGAUAAUUAUUUUCAUGUUUCUUCAUCAAAUUUUAGUUUCAAAUCAUAUCAUUUUUCUUGCUUUGGAAUGUUUUAUUGUUUGUCAGGUUUACAAAUUAGGGUUUGACUGGGUAAGUUUUAUAAACUUUAAUUGAUUAAAGAAAAAUAUAGCAACACUAUGUCUGUUGAUUGUAAGUACUAUUUAUGUUCUUACUUUCAGUUUUUUUGUUCUUCAAUUGGUUGUGGUUAUUAGAUGGAAAAUUUGCUUACACUAGAUAAUUAGGAUUUUAUUUAAUUACAUAUUUAUUAGGAUUUGUUUUUAUGUUUUAGUUAAUAAUCCCUACCUUUUAGGAGUUGUUAGUGGGAUUUAGAUGGUUUUCUCCACCACAAUAUGAUUGAUUUGUUUUUGUUAAAUUUUAGAUUUUGUUUUUUUAGAUUUGUAUCAAUUUUUUUUUUUGGAUUUGAUUUGUUUCAAUUUUAAUUUGUUUUAUUUGUUAUUUGUAAACUUCAAUUGAGGAGAAAACCAAACUGAUAUACCGGUAGUUUUCAUAAGAUUUUUUAUUUCUAAAUUUUAAUUUCAUUCAAUCUAUAAAUUUUUUUAUAAGUAAUAAGUUAGUUUGAUUGAAUGUAUUUCUUCUCCAUGAACAUUAAAACAAAUGAGAGACAAAAGCAUGGUUGUAAGUUGUAAAUAAAACACCAUUGUUGUUUUUUUAAAUUCAGAGGUAAAGUAAAUAAGUUAGUAAACCUAUAAAACAUUCCAAAGAAGCAUUGUUGUACACAAAAUUUGUCACAUUUAAGUAAUAAGUUAGUUUGAUUGAAUGUAUUUCUUUCCCAGAAGCAUUGUUGUUUUUUUAAAUUAAGAGAUUUUGUCGAU